rnacentral:rRNA from 1 species
UACGAAGGGGGCUAGCGUUGUUCGGAAUUACUGGGCGUAAAGCGCACGUAGGCGGAUUGUUAAGUCAGAGGUGAAAUCCCGGAGCUCAACUUCGGAACUGCCUUUGAUACUGGCAAUCUAGAGUCCGGAAGAGGUUAGUGGAAUUCCCAGUGUAGAGGUGAAAUUCGUAGAUAUCGGGAGGAACACCAGUGGCGAAGGCGCUUUCUGGCCUGUUCUUGACGCUGAGGCGCGGAAAGCCAGGGGAGCGAACGGG